rnacentral:rRNA from 1 species
UACGGGGGGGUAAGCGUUGUUCGGAAUUACUGGGCGUAAAGGGCUCGUAGGCGGCCAACUAAGUCAGACGUGAAAUCCCUCAGCUUAACUGGGGAACUGCGUCUGAUACUGGAUGGCUUGGAUUCGGGAGAGGAAUGCGGAAUUCCAGGCGUAGCGGUGAAAUGCGUAGAUAUCUGGAGGAACACCGGUGGCGAAGGCGGCAUUCUGGACCGAUAUUGACGCUGAGGAGCGAAAGCCAGGGGAGCAAACGGGG